rnacentral:tRNA from 1 species
GUCUGCAUGGCUCAGUUGGUUAGAGCGCCGGUCUCAUACGUUCGUAUGAGCUUCUACUGCGAGGUGCAAUCCGGAGAUCGCCAGUUCGAUCCUGGCUGUGGACA